GGGUGCCCGCCGCAUAAGGCAGCGAGGCAGGUAGCAGCGUCGGUCGGGCCGCCACG
ncrna:unclassified sequences nhaA-I RNA